rnacentral:rRNA from 1 species
GCUGCUUUGCUGACGAGUGGCGGACGGGUGAGUAAUGUCUGGGAAACUGCCUGAUGGAGGGGGAUAACUACUGGAAACGGUGGCUAAUACCGCAUAACGUCGCAAGACCAAAGAGGGGGACCUUCGGGCCUCUUGCCAUCAGAUGUGCCCAGAUGGGAUUAGCUUGUUGGUGAGGUAACGGCUCACCAAGGCGACGAUCCCUAGCUGGUCUGAGAGGAUGACCAGCCACACUGGAACUGAGACACGGUCCAGACUCCUACGGGAGGCAGCAGUGGGGAAUAUUGCACAAUGGGCGCAAGCCUGAUGCAGCCAUGCCGCGUGUAUGAAGAAGGCCUUCGGGUUGUAAAGUACUUUCAGCGGGGAGGAAGGUGUUGUGGUUAAUAACCGCAGCAAUUGACGUUACCCGCAGAAGAAGCACCGGCUAACUCCGUGCCAGCAGCCGCGGUAAUACGGAGGGUGCAAGCGUUAAUCGGAAUUACUGGGCGUAAAGCGCACGCAGGCGGUCUGUCAAGUCGGAUGUGAAAUCCCCGGGCUCAACCUGGGAACUGCAUUCGAAACUGGCAGGCUUGAGUCUUGUAGAGGGGGGUAGAAUUCCAGGUGUAGCGGUGAAAUGCGUAGAGAUCUGGAGGAAUACCGGUGGCGAAGGCGGCCCCCUGGACAAAGACUGACGCUCAGGUGCGAAAGCGUGGGGAGCAAACAGGAUUAGAUACCCUGGUAGUCCACGCCGUAAACGAUGUCUACUUGGAGGUUGUGCCCUUGAGGCGUGGCUUCCGGAGCUAACGCGUUAAGUAGACCGCCUGGGGAGUACGGCCGCAAGGUUAAAACUCAAAUGAAUUGACGGGGGCCCGCACAAGCGGUGGAGCAUGUGGUUUAAUUCGAUGCAACGCGAAGAACCUUACCUGGUCUUGACAUCCACAGAACUUUCCAGAGAUGGAUUGGUGCCUUCGGGAACUGUGAGACAGGUGCUGCAUGGCUGUCGUCAGCUCGUGUUGUGAAAUGUUGGGUUAAGUCCCGCAACGAGCGCAACCCUUAUCCUUUGUUGCCAGCGGUCCGGCCGGGAACUCAAAGGAGACUGCCAGUGAUAAACUGGAGGAAGGUGGGGAUGACGUCAAGUCAUCAUGGCCCUUACGACCAGGGCUACACACGUGCUACAAUGGCGCAUACAAAGAGAAGCGACCUCGCGAGAGCAAGCGGACCUCAUAAAGUGCGUCGUAGUCCGGAUUGGAGUCUGCAACUCGACUCCAUGAAGUCGGAAUCGCUAGUAAUCGUGGAUCAGAAUGCCACGGUGAAUACGUUCCCGGGCCUUGUACACACCGCCCGUCACACCAUGGGAGUGGGUUGCAAAAGAAGUAGGUAGCUUAACCUUCGGGAGGGCGCUUACCACUUUGUGAUUCAUGACUGGGGUGAAGUCGUAACAAGGUAACCGUAGGGGAACCUGCGGUUG